rnacentral:rRNA from 1 species
UACGUAGGGACCAAGCGUUGUUCGGAUUUACUGGGCGUAAAGGGCGCGUAGGCGGCAAUUCAAGUCAGCUGUGAAAUCUCCGGGCUUAACUCGGAACGGUCAGCUGAUACUGCUUUGCUAGAGUGCGGAAGGGGCAAUCGGAAUUCUCGGUGUAGCGGUGAAAUGCGUAGAUAUCGAGAGGAACACCUGAGGUGAAGACGGGUUGCUGGGCCGACACUGACGCUGAGGCGCGAAAGCCAGGGUAGCAAACGGG